AACGAACGCUGGCGGCAUGCCUAACACAUGCAAGUCGAACGAAGCCUUCGGGCUUAGUGGCGCACGGGUGCGUAACGCGUGGGAAUCUGCCCCUUGCUUCGGAAUAACAGUUAGAAAUGAAUGCUAAUAACGGAUGAAGUCUUAGGACCAAAGAUUUAUCGGCAAGGGGUGAGCGUGCGUAGGUUUCGGUAGUUGGUGGGGUAAAGGCCUACCAAGGCGACGAUGCUUAGCUGGUCUGAGAGGAUGAUCAGGCACACUGGGACUGAGGCACGGCCCAGACUCCUACGGGAGGCAGGAGUGUAUAAUAUUGGACAAUGGACGCAAGUCUGGUCCCGCAAUGUCGCGUGAGUGAUGAAGGCCUUAGGGUUGUAAAGCUCUUUUACCAGGGAUGAUAAUGACAGUACCUGGAGAAUAAGCUCCGGCUAACUCCGUG
rnacentral:rRNA from 1 species